AGGCUUUGCAUAUUUAGACGGACAAGACAAGAAAAAUCAGAAAAAAUAGAAAGAAAAAAAAAAGAGGGAAAAAAGAGAGAGAUCGCGGUUGCAACGGCCAGGCAGGCCACCCUCCACCUCAACACAUCUGGCUGCAAAUUUUGCAAGUCAAUGUGAGCAAUCAUUCCUUCGUUCUCUCCCUCCUCUCUUUCUCUUCAAAACACCCCAACUUUCUCUCCAUUUUCUUUGGGAAAAAGAAAAAUACCCAGUAAAAUCUGCGAUUUCCCCACCUCGAAUUCGCCUGCACCACCAUCGUUCCCGCCUCCAAUUUUGUGUCCUUUUUUUUUUUAUUCUCUGGGUGCCCAAACGGUGGUGCUUGCUGGGCAAUGAGUUAGGUCUCAAUUACCUAUCUAUUUCUUCAAAUUUUAUUGAAUUAAUUGUAUUUUGUUUGAAUUUAGAGCUUUGAAUUUUGAGGGUGGUUUGGGAAAUUUGAAAAAGUUCGGUACUUUGGAAGAUGCAGCAUAAUAUAUUUACUACAAUGCGGAGCUUGAAGAUCAUGGAUGGGUGUAAAGGAAGUCAAGUUUUCGCGCUUAAUCCUUCCGGAGCUACUGCCGCCGGCGGAAACGGCGGUGGUGGUGGUGGUUCGGGGGACAAGCUUCUUUACGACCAUCUCCGGGUCAACUCGAUUCGAUCCAGAGCGAGUCGGGGCAGUUUUCAGGCUCCGAACCCUACCGCCAACAAUGUUUUGCUCGAGACUCUUCUCCCUUACGGUCUGCCGGUGUCCGAUCUCCUUGAGCCCCAAAUCGAACCAUCCCUCAAAUCGGUCGAUUUUGUGGAAACCCUAGCUGAUGUGUACCGUAGGAUUGUGAUUUGCCCCCAAUUCGAGAAGUGGAAGAUGUAUUUGGAGCAAUGUGCGACGUUUCGGGGCCUUUCGGAUCCGAAAUUGUUCCGGCGGAGCCUCAGGUCGGCGAGGCAGCACGCGGUUGAUGUGCACUCGAAGGUGGUGCUGACGUCUUGGUUGAGGUAUGAGAGGAGAGAGGAUGAGCUUAUUGGGUCGUCAGCAAUGUAUUGUUGUGGUAGAAAUGUUGAAUGUCCGAAGGCUAGUUUGGUUUCCGGGUACGAUCCUGAGUCUGUUUUUGAGUCUUGUAUGUGUUCUAGGACGCCGCAGGGGCAAGGUGACGAUGAUGAUCUUGUGAUGGGGGAUGAGGAAUGUUCCACUUCGGAGGAGGAUGGUGAUAUGUCGUUUUGUAUUGGAGAUGCCGAGAUUAGGUGUGUUCGAUACAACAUUGCUUCGCUUUCGAGGCCUUUUAAUGCAAUGUUGGGUAACUUCACGGAGACACGAAGGGAGAAGAUAAAUUUCACACAGAAUGGGAUAUCUGUGGAGGCAAUGAGGGCAGUGGAGAUUUUUAGCAGGAUAAAAAGAGUAGAUUCUUUUGAAGUGAAAACUGUUUUGGACCUGCUAUCCUUUGCAAACACGUUUUGUUGCGAUGAGUUGAAGACGGCAUGUGAUUCUCAUUUGGCAUCUCUGGUUUGUGAACUGGAAGAUGCAAUGCUGCUGAUUGACUAUGGGUUGGAGGAGACUGCUCAUUUUCUCGUGGCAGCUUGUUUGCAGGUGUUUUUGAGGGAGCUACCGAGUUCGUUGCACAAUUCUCAUAUGAUGAGAUUAUUUUGUACUUCAGAAGCUAGGCAAAGGUUGGCUAUGUCCGGGCACUCUUCUUUCAUUUUGUAUUAUUUUUUGAGCCAGGUUGCUAUUGAGGAUGACAUGAGAUCGAACACAACGGUGAUGCUUCUAGAGAGGCUGGCAGAGUGUGCCACCGAAAGUUGGCAGAAGCAACUUGCAUUUCACCUGUUGGGUGUUGUGAUGCUUGAGAGGAAAGAAUUUAAAGAUGCUCAGUGGUGGUUUGAAGCAGCAGUAGAGGUUGGUCAUAUUUAUUCCUUGGUGGGCAUUGCAAGGGCCAAGUUCAAGCGUGGCCAUAAGUAUGCGGCUUACAAGCAAAUGAACUCUCUCAUUUCUGAUUAUACACCGGUUGGGUGGAUGUAUCAGGAGCGAUCUCUGUAUUGUAUUGGAAAGGAAAAGAUGAUGGAUUUGAGCACCGCUACUCACUUGGAUCCAACUCUAUCUUAUCCAUACAAGUAUAGGGCUGUUUCUUUGUUGGAGGAGAACCAGUUUGAAGCAGCUAUUACAGAGAUCAAUAAGAUAAUUAGUUUCAAGGUCUCCCCUGAUUGUCUCGAAUUGAGGGCUUGGUUUUCAAUUGCCCUCGAAGAUUUUGAAGGAGCUCUCAGAGAUGUCCGGGCACUCUUGACUUUGGACCCAAAUUACAUGAUGUUUCAUGGGAAAAUGCAUGGUGACCAUCUGGUAGAGCUGCUCUGCCCUUUUGUUCAACAGUGGAGUCAGGCUGAUUGUUGGAUGCAACUAUAUGAUCGAUGGUCCUCUGUUGAUGAUAUUGGUUCUCUAGCUGUUGUACAUCAUAUGUUGGCAAAUGACCCUGGGAAGAGCCUUCUACGCUUUAGGCAGUCUCUCCUUCUGUUGCGGUUAAAUUGUCAAAAGGCUGCUAUGCAUAGUCUGCGGUUGGCCCGGAAUCAUUCUAGUUCUGAGCAUGAGAGGCUUGUCUAUGAAGGAUGGAUCUUGUAUGACACUGGCCAUCGGGAAGAAGCAUUGGCAAAGGCAGAGGAGUCCAUUGCUAUCCAGAGAUCGUUUGAAGCAUUUUUCCUUAAAGCAUAUGCUUUAGCAGACUCAAGUCUUGAUUCUGAUUCUUCAACAUAUGUGAUCCAGCUUCUAGAGGAAGCACUUAGAUGCCCUUCGGAUGGUCUUAGAAAAGGACAAGCACUAAAUAAUUUAGGAAGUGUCUAUGUAGAUUCUGAUAAGCUGGAUCUUGCUGCCGAUUGCUACACAAAUGCACUCAACAUUAAGCAUACGAGAGCACAUCAGGGUCUAGCACGAGUAUAUCAUCUUAAAAAUCAACGCAAGGCUGCAUAUGAUGAGAUGACAAAGCUGAUAGAGAAGGCUCGAAACAAUGCAUCAGCUUUUGAGAAACGUUCAGAAUACUGUGACCGUGACAUGGCAAAGAGUGAUCUAAGUAUGGCAACACAACUAGAUCCCCUGAGGACAUAUCCGUACAGAUAUAGGGCAGCAGUUUUGAUGGAUGACCACAAAGAAGGAGAAGCCAUCGAAGAGCUAACAAAAGCCAUAACUUUCAAGCUAGACCUGCAACUGCUACAUCUUCGAGCAGCAUUCCACGAGUCAAUGAGCAAUUUUGUUUUCACUGUGCGAGACUGUGAAGCAGCCCUCUGUCUUGAUCCCAACCAUGCUGACACUCAGGAACUCUAUUCUAAAGCACGGGAACGUGUCAAUGAACAAAAGAAGUGAGAGAACCACGGAGCGAUUAUUCUUUACCGUCUUUGGGGCAAUCAUGCUGUUGCUACCCGAUUCAUUUAACAUGGGAAUGGGCAGCAAUUGUCAGCAUAGGGCAAUCCGUUGGAUUUUGUCUCUAGAAGCGUACAAUUGUAGAUUCCCAUGGCCUUGGAAAAGGGUAUGUAAAGCGGAAGCAAGGAGAGAAUUUGGAUUCACGGAGGAGAGUAGAGAGCAGCAAGAUAGCGUGUAAAUAGAUCAGCUGUUUAUUGAUUGGAUCAACUUAUUAAGUAGCGCAGAGACCUGCUGCUGCUACUGUCUGACAUACUACUCCAGCAAAGACGGGAGCGGAAGUAACCAAAGGCGAAAAGUAUCUUGUACAUGAUCAUCUUGAAGCUAAAGCUUGCAGAGUCAAGCCACGAGAUGGAUCAAACGUGUCCGGACUUCAUCAUCGAGCGGUUUCUUCCGGAUGCCACUGCAUUGGCUGCAUCAUCUACACUGAAGCUAAAUGUGUCACAAAUCAGUUCAAGCAAGAGACUCCGCUAUCCGUGGAAUUAUACCGGCACGGCGGAGGCUUGUGUUUCGAGAACGGUGUGCAGGUUUUCUUCCCUUGGCGGAUGAAGCAUAAGCUCUGUGGAGUGAAAAGCCCUGUCAAUGAACAAGUUCAGUGCAGUGUAAAACGCAAGAGAAAUAGAUCAUAAGCUUCGUACUACUUGAUGUAUUGUAUAGCUAUAACUUUUUUUUAUGGUAUUAGUCUGGUUAGCCCACGUGUGAAUCCCAACGAUCACACGUGUUUCAUGUCAUCCUAUAUUUCUUGUGCAAUGUAUUUUACCUUAAGUUCACACACU